AGUACCCUGGCCAGGCUUUGUGAGGCCUACGCGAGUAGGAUGUGAGAGAGUCUUUCUGAUAAAAGAAAAUGAAGACCUCGAUCUGUGACCCAGUCUAUGCUGGUCGAGAAGAAAUCAGAGAGUGGAAGAGCUGUUACUUGAGGUCCUCAGGAUGCCCCAGGCCCUCUCAUGAGUUUCUUUCCAGUUAUCUCUCAUAAGAGAAAGAAGAAAAGAGAAGAAGGUGGCUUAAGCCGGUGUUUUUCAAGUGUGAUCACAAAACUGGAGCCACCCUGAGGUGUGUGCCAGUCUUUUCUCCAUACCUCACACCUGACAGACUGGUCUGAACAACUGGUAUCUCACAAAGUGGAGUUAGAGCCAGAUUAUCUGAAGCCUGGAAAGUGUCCACAAUUCCUGGGAUUGCAUCAACCAGGUCA